GACUACAAUUUCAUAUCAUAGUAUAUACUUUUUAAAUUAAAACUUGUUAUAUUUUUACAGCAUUCUUUUCCAGUUUUGGUUUGAAAUAAGAACUGUCCAAAAUCUGACUUCAUUUAACCUCAAAUAUUUUCCAUGCAGUCCCACCUAGCAAUGGAUACACUGUGGAAAACAGCACUCAGAUGUUCUUUCAGAAGCAUCCUAAGAUUGAUACCAGAUUUUCCUCUUUUCAUUGGAAAAAAAACAUUGUUAUUAUUUUAUCUGUGUGAAACUGGCAGGGACUAUCAGAACUAAUAUGUGAAUUGCAUAGUUAUCUAUGGCAUACAUAGCAGUUGAAUCUCUUUGCUUAGACACAGGCAGAAAGAAUUUCCGUUUUGGAUGCACAAAAUAUUCUUCAAAUGUAGGACUAUAAGAAAGCUUCUAUUUGUACCUGUAGCUGUGGCUGUCACACAGUGCUUGAUAAAUGGAUGCAGAAAGAGAAGCUGCUAAAGAAUGAAGAGUGUACACCUAAAAUGAAAAGAGCUGGAGUCCCCCAGUAACAAGAACAAUACUAUUAUGAGCUUACAGUGCAGCAGAAACACUCCAUUUCUUAAACAGAAGAAGAACUGCAAGGAUUUCUUGGGAAGACUGAUGGAGGCCAAGUUGUGUUAAAAUGGUUAUUCUCUUCUACUGCUGUCUACUCAGUACACACAAGAUUUUACAAGGAUGGAUGUUAAAAGUAAGUUCUGAGACUGGAGCCACUUCAGUGAUUUAUUCCACAUCAGAGGAUAUGCUCUGGUUAGUCACUAACAUUUACUGUAGAAAAUGCCAUAAUAUAGAAAAGGGAGCAGUACACUAAGAGUCUAUUCCUUACAGCUCCCUUGCAUGACAUGCAGUGAUGUAGGGAAUGAGAUUUUAUCAUACUUAAUCUGAAUUUAACUUAUUAUAUAGAUAUCCAAAAUAUGGUGAUCAAAACUAUAAUUUCAACAUACGUCUAAGUCUGUAGUACAUAGAGCAAUAUUUAUAUAAUUACAGGUAGCCUAAUACUCUGGCAGAUUCUGAAGAACCAAAUAGCCAGGAUGUGGAUACACAGCAAACUGGAAUAGUAAGUUCUUGCCUGAAGAACAUUAGACUUGUAUAGCUUAAUGUACAAAUUUAAGCAUUUGAUAAAAUUGACAGACUAGAACUGUUCAGACUUGUAAAUACAAAUCAGCUGAA